GCCUGGGUGGCUUAGUGGUUUAAGCGCCUGCCUUCAGCUCAGGUCUCGUGGGAUUCAGCCCCGCUUGGGGCU
rnacentral:tRNA from 1 species